GACGAACGCUGGCGGCGUGCCUAAUACAUGCAAGUCGAGCGCAGGAAACUGACGGAACUCUUCGGAGGGAAGGCAGCGGAAUGAGCGGCGGACGGGUGAGUAACACGUAAGGAACCUGCCUCAAGGAUUGGGAUAACUCCGAGAAAUCGGAGCUAAUACCGGAUAGUUCAACGGACCGCAUGGUCCGCUGAUGAAAGGCGCUUCGGCGUCACCUUGAGAUGGCCUUGCGGUGCAUUAGCUAGUUGGUGGGGUAACGGCCCACCAAGGCGACGAUGCAUAGCCGACCUGAGAGGGUGAUCGGCCACACUGGGACUGAGACACGGCCCAGACUCCUACGGGAGGCAGCAGUAGGGAAUCUUCCACAAUGGACGAAAGUCUGAUGGAGCAACGCCGCGUGAGUGAUGAAGGUUUUCGGAUCGUAAAACUCUGUUGUAAGGGAAGAACACGUACGAGAGGAAAUGCUCGUACCUUGACGGUACCUUACGAGAAAGCCACGGCUAACUACGUGCCAGCCGCCGCGGUAAAAC
rnacentral:rRNA from 1 species